AUUUAAAUAGUUUAAUUAAAAAUUUUAGUUUGUGAAUCUAAAGAUUUAUUUUGUAGUUUAGAUA
rnacentral:tRNA from 1 species